GAUGAACGCUGGCGGCGUGCCUAAUACAUGCAAGUCGAGCGAACGGACGAGAAGCUUGCUUCUCUGAUGUUAGCGGCGGACGGGUGAGUAACACGUGGAUAACCUACCUAUAAGACUGGGAUAACUUCGGGAAACCGGAGCUAAUACUGGAUAAUAUUUUGAACCGCAUGGUUCAAAAGUAAAAGACGGUCUUGCUGUCACUUAUAGAUGGAUCCGCGCUGCAUUAGCUAGUUGGUAAGGUAACGGCUUACCAAGGCAACGAUGCAUAGCCGACCUGAGAGGGUGAUCGGCCACACUGGAACUGAGACACGGUCCAGACUCCUACGGGAGGCAGCAGUAGGGAAUCUUCCGCAAUGGGCGAAAGCCUGACGGAGCAACGCCGCGUGAGUGAUGAAGGUCUUCGGAUCGUAAAACUCUGUUAUUAGGGAAGAACAUAUGUGUAAGUAACUGUGCACAUCUUGACGGUACCUAAUCAGAAAGCCACGGCUAACUACGUG
rnacentral:rRNA from 1 species